CACUAUUCAUAACUGUAAAUAGAUUAAAGAUUUACCAGAGUACUAUGAAUGUGUAAAAAUUUAAAACUCAAAGGGCUUGGCGGUGUUUUAGACCUAUCAGGGGAACCUGUCUCAUAAUCGACAAUCCACGUAAAACCUGACCCUAUUUUGUAUUCAGUUUGUAUACCGUCGUCGUCAGGUAACUUUUAAAAAAUUAGAAGUUAGCAGUAAAAAUAAUGUGGAUUAAUACGUCAGAUCAAGGUGCAGCUAAUGAAAGGGAGAGGAUGGGUUACAAUUAUAUUAUUUAUAAUUACGGAGAGUUAAGUGAAAGUGUAACUUAAAGGAGGACUUGAAAGUAAAAUAAAAUAUAUAAACGGUUUGAAUGCGGCUCUGAAACGUGC
rnacentral:rRNA from 1 species